rnacentral:rRNA from 1 species
GGGUCAGUAGGUUGGUCGUGCCACCGGUACGUACUGGUCUCACUGAUUCCUCCUUCCUGAAGAACCGUAAUGCCAUUAAUUUGGUGUUGCGGGGAAACAGGACUGUUACUCUGAAAAAAUUAGAGUGUUUAAAGCAAGCUAACGCUCGAAUACAUUAGCAUGGAAUAAUGAAAUAGGACGAUCGAUCCUAUUUUGUUGGUUUCUAGGAUUGACGUA